ACCGGCGAUUUCCGAAUGGGGAAACCCAGUGUGACUCGUCACACUAUCAUUAACUGAAUCCAUAGGUUAAUGAGGCGAACCGGGGGAACUGAAACAUCUAAGUACCCCGAGGAAAAGAAAUCAACCGAGAUUCCCCCAGUAGCGGCGAGCGAACGGGGAGGAGCCCAGAGCCUGAAUCAGCAUGUGUGUUAGUGGAAGCGUCUGGAAAGGCGCGCGAUACAGGGUGACAGCCCCGUACACAAAAGCGCACAUGCUGUGAGCUCGAUGAGUAGGGCGGGACACGUGGUAUCCUGUCUGAAUAUGGGGGGACCAUCCUCCAAGGCUAAAUACUCCUGACUGACCGAUAGUGAACCAGUACCGUGAGGGAAAGGCGAAAAGAACCCCGGCGAGGGGAGUGAAAAAGAACCUGAAACCGUGUACGUACAAGCAGUGGGAGCACCCUUUGGGGUGUGACUGCGUACCUUUUGUAUAAUGGGUCAGCGACUUAUAUUCUGUAGCAAGGUUAACCGWAUAGGGGAGCCGSAGGGAAACCGAGUCUUAACCGGGCGUUAAGUUGCAGGGUAUAGACCCGAAACCCGGUGAUCUAGCCAUGGGCAGGUUGAAGGUUGGGUAACACUAACUGGAGGACCGAACCGACUAAUGUUGAAAAAUUAGCGGAUGACCUGUGGCUGGGGGUGAAAGGCCAAUCAAACCGGGAGAUAGCUGGUUCUCCCCGAAAGCUAUUUAGGUAGCGCCUCGUGAAUUCAUCUCCGGGGGUAGAGCACUGUUUCGGCUAGGGGGCCAUCCCGGCUUACCAACCCGAUGCAAACUGCGAAUACCGGAGAAUGUUAUCACGGGAGACACACGGCGGGUGCUAACGUCCGUCGUGAAGAGGGAAACAACCCAGACCGCCAGCUAAGGUCCCAAAGUCAUGGUUAAGUGGGAAACGAUGUGGGAAGGCCCAGACAGCCAGGAUGUUGGCUUAGAAGCAGCCAUCAUUUAAAGAAAGCGUA
rnacentral:rRNA from 1 species